GAUAUCCUAAUGGGGAGCAUCUGCUGAGAGGUUAUUUAGUUAACGACCCAAAACCUGAUCUAGAUAAUGCUAGCGUAGGGAAUAGUAUGCAAUAUGUU
rnacentral:ncRNA from 2 species